rfam:Picea glauca, whole genome shotgun sequence.
UGUGUAAAUGAAUACAACAUUAAUGCAUCAGAUCCCAUCAGAACUCUACAGUCAAGCAUGCUUGGGAUAUAGUAUCAUUGGGAUGGGUGACCUCCUGAGAAGUCUUAAUUUUUUACAUGC